CCUACGGGAGGCAGCAGUGGGGAAUAUUGCACAAUGGGGGAAACCCUGAUGCAGCAACGCCGCGUGAGUGAUGACGGCCUUCGGGUUGUAAAGCUCUGUCUUCAGGGACGAUAAUGACGGUACCUGAGGAGGAAGCCACGGCUAACUACGUGCCAGCAGCCGCGGUAAUACGUAGGUGGCGAGCGUUGUCCGGAUUUACUGGGUGUAAAGGGAGCGUAGGCGGCCUUGUAAGUGAGAUGUGAAAUCCCGGGGCUCAACUCGGGUGCUGCAUUGGAAACUGGGAGGCUGGAGUGCAGGAGAGGAGAGUGGAAUUGCUAGUGUAGCGGUGAAAUGCGUAGAGAGUAGGAGGAACACCAGUGGCGAAGGCG
rnacentral:rRNA from 1 species